GACGAACGCUGGCGGCGUGCUUAACACAUGCAAGUCGAACGGAAAGGCCCUGCUUUUGUGGGGUGCUCGAGUGGCGAACGGGUGAGUAACACGUGAGUAACCUGCCCUUGACUUUGUGAUAUCUUCAGAAGACUGGGGCUAAUCCCGGAUAGGAGCUCCUGCUGCAUGGUGGGGGUUGGAAAUUUUCGGCGGUUGGGGAUGGACUCGCGGUUUAUCAGCCUGUUGGUGGGGUAGUGGCUUACCAAGGCUUUGACGGGUAGCCGGCCUGAGAGGGUGACCGGCCACAUUGGGACUGAGAUACGGCCCAGACUCCUACGGGAGGCAGCAGUGGGGAAUAUUGCACAAUGGGCGGAAGCCUGAUGCAGCAACGCCGCGUGCGGGAUGACGGCCUUCGGGUUGUAAACCGCUUUCGCCUGUGACGAAGCGUGAGUGACGGUAAUGGGUAAAGAAGCACCGGCUAACUACGUG
rnacentral:rRNA from 1 species